UACGAAGGGGCUAGGCGUUGCUCGGAAUCACUGGGCGUAAAGGGUGCGUAGGCGGGUUUUUAAGUCAGAGGUGAAAUCCUGGAGCUCAACUCCAGAACUGCCUUUGAUACUGAGGAUCUUGAGUUCGGGAGAGGUGAGUGGAACUGCGAGUGUAGAGGUGAAAUUCGUAGAUAUUCGCAAGAACACCAGUGGCGAAGGCGGCUCACUGGCCCGAUACUGACGCUGAGGCACGAAAGCGUGGGGAGCAAACAGG
rnacentral:rRNA from 1 species